rnacentral:rRNA from 1 species
AACGAACGCUGGCGGCGUGGCUAAGACAUGCAAGUCGAACGAGCUAGGCAAUUGAGCAAUCGAACGCCUAGUUAGUGGCGAAAGGGUUAGUAAUGGCUAGGUAACGUACCCUGUACUUCGGGAUAGCGUCUGAGUGCUUGCACUCUUCCGAAAGGGGCAUUAAUACCGAAUGAUAUCCCCCGUCGAUGGGCGGGUGAUCAAAGAUUUAUCGGUGCAGGAGCGGCCUAGUUCCUAUCAGCUAGUUGGUGAGGUAACGGCCCACCAAGGCGAUGACGGGUAGCGGGACUGAGAGGUUGGCCCGCAACAUCGGGACUGAGACACUGCCCGGACCUCCACGGAGGGCUGCAGUAACGAAUAUUGGGCAAUGAGCGAAAGCUUGACCCAGCGACGCCGCGUGUAGGAGGAAGUCCUCGGAGUGUAAACUAACUAGUCAGGGGAGGAAAGUACCGUUUCGGCGGAGUUGAUCUAACCCACGAGGAAGUACACGGCGUAACUAACGUGCCACGCAGCCGCGGU